UCCGCAGCGGCACAGGGCUCCAGCUAUAAACACGCCCUCCUGUUGACGUUUCUCCUUGUACUCUCUCACUUUUCUCAUUCCUCACAAAUGCUUCCUGCAGUAACCCUCUGGAUGAGCUACCUUCCUCCGGGACCUUGUUCCAAGAUCUCUUUGCAGGAAAAUCCAAGGCAAGAUGCACGGAGCAGUGGUUUGGAAGGGCAAACGAGCUCUGUGUGUCAGAGCGCGGAAGGGGAGAAACAGACGUUGCGACCCAGUGUGUUGAGCUCAGCCUGAAAGAAGGCCGAGGAUGCAUGGCCACCAGAAGUCACAAAAACAGCAUGGAGUGGACCCUUCCCUAGGGUGUUCAGGAGGAGCAUGACCCUUGAGUUUGAACUUCUGACCUUCAGAACUGCUCCGCAGACUGCAGGCUCCUCUCUCCAUGACACUCCUGUAUCAUGAACCUGCUGAACAAAGCUCCCUCCUACAGAAGACAGGCCAGGCUCACUCCCCAUCCAGCCUGGGUGUCCUGCCGUCACCCCUUCCUAGCACGCCUGCCUCGCCCAUCCUCUGAAAGCAGAUGUGAUGUAUGGAGUGCUGACCCCUCGUGUCACUCAAUCCAUCAGCACCUCUGUGAAAUGUGACCUCGUUUGAUAGAUGAGGCUGUAUUGGAGCUUUGCUGGUGGCUCAGCUGGUAAAGCAUCUGCCCCC